CGCCAGGCAGCCCGCUGGGUUGCGCGGCGCGCGUGUGAACGUAGCAUAAGAUUGGCCGAUUGCGAUAAAAACCAUAGAAAGAAGAAUAAUAACCAUAACCUCAAAGUCGAAGUUUUAGUUCAAAUGUCAUUUAGUUGUUCAAAUGUCAUUGUCAUUUACUUUGUUUGGAUUACACACAUCAUGCCGAAAAUCCCGAAUCUCCGUGCAUUUGGUAAACAUUGUCACAAUUGUGGAAAGUGGAUGGAGCGAAGGGCUCUUCGUAAAGAUGGUGUGUAGUAUUUUAGUAGGUAUGUAGGCAGGUUGUGUUUUUAAGUGAAUUUUGUUUUGUUUUCUUCUUAAAGUGUGUAUAAUAUAUUUUUGCAGAUAAUUUCAAUUAUUGCGAGUGCUGUGGCUGUAAAAUGAAAAAUAAUACUUAUUACCAGAUAGAGAUGUCGAUAACGAAGAGUUGAAUGUUAGAACUUAUGAAAAUAUUAUUUACAACUCAUUUCGAGAAGCUGCUCAAGCUCCUUUUUGACGAUCAAGAAUGGGAAAGAUGUUUGAAUGAAGCAAUUGAUUUUAAACUUCCUCGGCAAUUAUUUCGAGUUCGAAGAUUCGAUGAUGUAAAAAUUCAAAUUAUCAAUACCACUGAACAAGGCUUGAAAGGUGAUAAAUAUUUACCGAAAAAUGUUAUAUAUAGAGAAAUUUUGUGAUAAUCAACCUCUGAUGUAUAAUAGAGAAUAUUUUUUUAUAAGUACCUUUGCCAAAUUCUCGGAUAAGUACUCAUUGUAAAAUUACAAUUUACAUACUUCCUAAUAUUAUUCUUGAUUUAGCCAAUUUGGAUAAAGAACCACAAUUUCAUAUUUUAUUUUUAAAAUUAGUAAGUACUUAUCUACCUGUCAAAGUAAAGAAA